rnacentral:rRNA from 1 species
GACGAACGCUGGCGGCGUGCUUAACACAUGCAAGUCGAACGGAAAGGCCCUGCUUGCAGGGUACUCGAGUGGCGAACGGGUGAGUAACACGUGGGUGAUCUGCCCUUCACUUCGGGAUAAGCCUGGGAAACUGGGUCUAAUACCGGAUAGGAGCCAUUUUUAGUGUUAUGGUUGGAAAGUUUUUUCGGUGUAGGAUGAGCUCGCGGCCUAUCAGCUUGUUGGUGGGGUAAUGGCCUACCAAGGCGGCGACGGGUAGCCGGCCUGAGAGGGUGGACGGCCACAUUGGGACUGAGAUACGGCCCAGACUCCUACGGGAGGCAGCAGUGGGGAAUAUUGCACAAUGGGCGCAAGCCUGAUGCAGCGACGCCGCGUGGGGGAUGACGGCCUUCGGGUUGUAAACUCCUUUCGCUAGGGACGAAGCUUUUGUGACGGUACCUAGAUAAGAAGCACCGGCUAACUACGUG